rnacentral:snoRNA from 1 species
AAUCCCCUUUAAGCUUUGCCCACUAGGGACUCUCCAUGUCCUGAGUGGCCAUUAUGGAGGGGUAAAGCAUUGCCUGUCUAAAAACCUGAGUCAGGGGUCUUCCCUCUGCCUCCGGACCUGUCGGGAGGAACACAC